rnacentral:rRNA from 1 species
UCUGGUGCUUCAAGAGAAAGGGUCACACCUGAUCCCAUCUCGAACUCAGAAGUUAAGCCUUUCAUCGCCGAUGAUAGUCCAAUAGGGCGAAAGUAGGCCAGCGCCAGAA